rnacentral:rRNA from 1 species
AUUGAACGCUGGCGGCAUGCCUUACACAUGCAAGUCGAACGGCAGCACGGGAGCAAUCCUGGUGGCGAGUGGCGAACGGGUGAGUAAAGUAUCGGAACGUGCCCAGUCGUGGGGGAUAACGUAGCGAAAGUUACGCUAAUACCGCAUACGAUCUAUGGAUGAAAGCGGGGGAUCGCAAGACCUCGCGCGAUUGGAGCGGCCGAUAUCAGAUUAGGUAGUUGGUGGGGUAAAGGCGCACCAAGCCGACGAUCUGUAGCUGGUCUGAGAGGACGACCGGCAACACUGGGACUGAGACACGGCCCAGACUCCUACGGGAGGCAGCAGUGGGGAAUUUUGGACAAUGGGCGAAAGCCUGAUCCAGCCAUGCCGCGUGCAGGAUGAAGGCCUUCGGGUUGUAAACUGCUUUUGUACGGAACGAAAAGGUUUGGGCUAAUAAGCUGAGCUCAUGACGGUACCGUAAGAAUAAGCACCGGCUAACUACGUGCCAGCCGCCGCCGUAA